rnacentral:rRNA from 1 species
UACGUAGGGUGCGAGCGUUGUCCGGAAUUAUUGGGCGUAAAGAGCUCGUAGGCGGUCUGUCGCGUCGAUCGUGAAAACUUGGGGCUUAACCCUGAGCUUGCGGUCGAUACGGGCAUGACUGGAGUUCGGCAGGGGAGACUGGAAUUCCUGGUGUAGCGGUGAAAUGCGCAGAUAUCAGGAGGAACACCGGUGGCGAAGGCGGGUCUCUGGGCCGAUGACUGACGCUGAGGCACGAAAGCGUGGGG